GCUCUGAUACCAAAUUGAUGAACAGCCAUCAUUAAACAGUUGCCCCCCCAAAAUCUGACCCUCUCCUGAUGACUGAAAUCUAAACUUAAAUAUUGAUAAAAAUCUUCCAAAUUCAACAUAACAUUCUCCCAACAAACAUACAAUGAGAACCCUUUAACAUCUCUAAAACUCCCAACCCACACCAAAUCUGGCCCCAACAACUUUAUUCAACAUAGCCGAAGAUUUCCGACUAAACAUCCAAAUCCACUUACAUAGUAAGCUUUCUUUAUCACAUUAACAAGUCUAACACCACAAACCCACCCACCUAGCCCCCCCCCCCCCCCAAACAGAAUUUCCAAGGCCUAUAAGC